rnacentral:rRNA from 1 species
CCUACGGGGGGCAGCAGUGGGGAAUAUUGGACAAUGGGGGCAACCCUGAUCCAGCCAUGCCGCGUGUGUGAAGAAGGCCCUCGGGUUGUAAAGCACUUUCAGUGAGGAAGAACGCCUGGUGGUUAAUACCCAUCAGGAAAGACAUCACUCACAGAAGAAGCACCGGCUAACUCCGUGCCAGCAGCCGCGGUAAUACGGAGGGUGCGAGCGUUAAUCGGAAUUACUGGGCGUAAAGCGCGCGUAGGUGGCUUGAUAAGCCGGUUGUGAAAGCCCCGGGCUCAACCUGGGAACGGCAUCCGGAACUGUCAAGCUAGAGUGCAGGAGAGGAAGGUAGAAUUCCCGGUGUAGCGGUGAAAUGCGUAGAGAUCGGGAGGAAUACCAGUGGCGAAGGAGGCCUUCUGGACUGACACUGACACUGAGGUGCGAAAGCGUGGGUAGCAAACAGGAUUAGAUACCCUAGUAGGC